ACGGCUCAGUAACACGUAGUCAACAUGCCCAGGGGACGUGGAUAACCUCGGGAAACUGAGGAUAAACCACGAUAAGUCACUACUUCUGGAAUGGGUAAUGACUCAAAUCUACAUGGCCCCUGGAUUGGACUGCGGCCGAUCAGGCUGUUGGUGAGGUAAUGGCCCACCAAACCUGUAACCGGUACGGGCUCUGAGAGGAGGAGCCCGGAGAUGGGCACUGAGACAAGGGCCCAGGCCCUAUGGGGCGCAGCAGGCGCGAAACCUCUGCAAUAGGCGAAAGCCUGACAGGGUUACUCUGAGUGAUUUCCGUUAAGGAGAUCUUUUGGCACCUCUAAAAAUGGUGCAGAAUAAGGGGUGGGCAAGUCUGGUGUCAGCCGCCGCGGUAAUACCAGCACCCCGAGUGGUCGGGACGUUUAUUGGGCCUAAAGCAUCCGUAGCCGGUUCUACAAGUCUUCCGUUAAAUCCACCUGCUUAACAGAUGGGCUGCGGAAGAUACUAUAGAGCUAGGAGGCGGGAGAGGCAAGCGGUACUCGAUGGGUAGGGGUAAAAUCCGUUGAUCCAUUGAAGACCACCAGUGGCGAAGGCGGCUUGCCAGAACGCGCUCGACGGUGAGGGAUGAAAGCUGGGGGAGCAAACCGGAUUAGAUACCCGGGUAGUCCCAGCUGUAAACGAUGCAGACUCGGUGAUGAGUUGGCUUUAUGCCAACUCAGUGCCGCAGGGAAGCCGUUAAGUUUGCCGCCUGGGGAGUACGGUCGCAAGACUGAAACUUAAAGGAAUUGGCGGGGGAGCAC
rnacentral:rRNA from 1 species